CUGAAGAUCUGAAACCGGCGGGUUAGGACGUCAACAACAGCCAACAAAUUAUUAGAAAUGAAGACCAUUUGUGAAAUGAAGAUUUUCAGGUUCCUGGCCACAUAUGUUCUCAUGUAUUUUCGAACGGACUUUCUCUGACUGUUGACCGCGGAAAACCGUGAACGAGGUUAUCAGAGAGCUGCGAUAAGAGAGGAAAACGGAGAGGAAGAGAAGCAGCCCGACGCGGUGUGAAGGAAUGGAAUAAACCCCAGAGCAGAACCAGAGGAAGGAGGGAUGACUGCCGUGAGAUGAAAGAGGGAUAGAGCAGGACACAGAACAACUCGAGAGACCAUUCAGCUGUGAAGAGACAGAAGAAGCCAGAAGAUCACACAAACACCCAAAGAGGACGAGACCAAGAGGAAGCAGAGAAGAUGUCUGCAUUAAUUUCCAAGCGUUCAGUCUCUCUACAUAUAUUUCACGUGGGUGAGCAAUAUGAGAUGGUUUCAGUCUUUUAAGUAUAAUAAAACACUCAAAGUUAAAUAACCAUCCUCUUAUAACAACAGGUAAAUGGAGGCGUCUGAAAAGUGACUUUAAGACAUGAGGGACAAUGGCCAUGUCUUUGUGGUGUCCUUCUAGCUCUGAGAGAGAGAGAAUAAAAGAGGGAUGAGAGAGAGAAUAAAAGAGGGAUGGAGAAUAAAAG